rnacentral:misc_RNA from 1 species
UCUCCGUUAUCCGGAGCAGUCCUCGUAGAGUUCCCCCUUGCGGGUGGCAACUACGAGUAAGGGUUGCGCUCGUUGCGGGACUUAACCCAACAUCUCACGACACGAGCUGACGACAGCCAUGCAGCACCUGAACCAGAGGUCCCCGAAGGGAAGACCUUAUUUCUAAGGCUGUCCUCUGUUGUCUAGCCCGGGUAAGGUUCUUCGCGUUGCGUCGAAUUGAACCACAUGUUCCACCGCUUGUGCGGGCCCCCGUCAAUUCCUUUGAGUUUCAGUCUUGCGACCGUACUCCCCAGGUGCAGGACUUAACGCGUUAGCUCCGGGACGACGCCCGAACGGGCGGCACCCCAAGUCCUGAUCGUUUAGGGCUAGGACUAC